GACGGAGGAUGCAAGUGUUAUCCGGAAUCACUGGGCGUAAAGCGUCUGUAGGUGGCUUUUUAAGUCCGCCGUCAAAUCCCAGGGCUCAACCCUGGACAGGCGGUGGAAACUACCAAGCUGGAGUACGGUAGGGGCAGAGGGAAUUUCCGGUGGAGCGGUGAAAUGCGUAGAGAUCCGGAGGAACACCAGCGGCGAAGGCGGCAUCCUGGACUGGUACUGACGCUCAGGAGCGAAAGCGUGGGGAGCGAGUCCGG
rnacentral:rRNA from 1 species